rnacentral:rRNA from 1 species
CAGCCGCCACGGUAAUACGGAGGGUGCAAGCGUUAAUCGGAAUUACUGGGCGUAAAGCGCACGCAGGCGGUCUGACAAGUCAGAUGUGAAAUCCCCGGGCUUAACCUGGGAACUGCAUUUGAAACUGUCAGGCUGGAGUCUUGUAGAGGGGGGUGGAAUUCCAGGUGUAGCGGUGAAAUGCGUAGAGAUCUGGAGGAAUACCGGUGGCGAAGGCGGCCCCCUGGACAAAGACUGACGCUCAGGUGCGAAAGCGUGGGGAGCAAACAGGAUUAGAUACCCCCGGUAGUCCCUGUCUCUUAUU